CAAAUCGUUAUUGACGUGCUUAUUGUACUGGUUGCUCUUCCUCUUGGAUUUUUGAUUGACCUGAGCUAUAAUAGGUGGUCCGGGCAACCUAUCAUCACGCUUCAAGUACGUCUCAUAGUCGAUCAACUUAUCAUAAAGUUCUUCGAAUGAUAUUGGUGAGUCGCGUGCCCGAAGUGCUACUAUCAGUUCUUUGUACUCGCCUCCUAGGCCAUUGAGG
rnacentral:lncRNA from 1 species